GCAAUCUGCUCGGGGCACCUUCCACGGUGUGGGAGGUUUGUUCUUUCGCUUUUUGGGACCACGUCGUCUUUAUGAGCUGUAACACUCACCGCAAAGGUCUGCAGCUUUACUCCUGAAGCCAGCGAGACCACGAGCCCGCCGGGAGGAAGGAACAACUCCAGAUGCGUCGCCUUAAGAGCUGUAACACUCACUGCCCGAAGGUCUGCAGCUUCGCUUCUGAGCCAGCGAGGCCAUAAACCACCAGAAGGAAGAAACUCCAAACACAUCUUAACAUCAGAAGGAACAGACUCCGGAUGCGCUGCUUUUAAGAACUGUAACACUCACCGCGAGGCUCCGCAGCUUCAUUCUUGAAGUCAGUGAGACCAAGAACCCACCAAUUCCGGACACAACAUCACCUCUGUCAGCUUCAUUUUCCAUAUCUAUAAAAUGGAGAUAAUCACAAUACCUAUCUUUUAGGGCUGGUCUGGAAACUACAGGAGAUGGAGCAUCUAAAGCGCUUAGCAUAGGGUGAUGCUCAAAAGAGCUAUUAUUACCAUCAUCGUCUAGACUAGAGGUUCUCAGUCUUGGCUGCAUCUUAGAAUCACCUGGGGAGCUUUUAAAAAAUAUUAAUUUCCUCUUUUCUAGCCCAGGCGUACUAAAUCAGAAUCUCUAAGGGUGCAGUGUAAACAUCACAGUUUUUAAAAAGCUGCCCAGGAUUCCAAAUGAUCUACAGCCUUGGUACUUAACUCUGGUUCACGGCCCAGCAACCUCUGCUGGGAAUUUGGUAGAAAUGUGGAUUUUUAGGCCCAUCGUAGACCUACUGAAUCUGCAUUUUAUAAAAAGAUACCCCAGAUCCUAAACCUCCUUAAGAAGGUCAAGGCACGCAGACCACACUGAGUAGUGAAGGAGAGAAUCCAGGGUAGCUACAUAACCUCACGAAAUCCCUUCCUUGUGAUCUGUCUUUUCCUUCACUUCCUUCUUCAGAUGCUCCUAAAAGUAGGGGUUGGGAGGAAACAACCAACUGAAAUAUUUGGAGUGGGCGUGUGUGAGUAAUAAGAAUCCCUUAACAUUUCUACAGACAGUUCUAUUAGUAAGAGUAGUUCACGUAUGAUUUCACUUGACCCUAAUUAGGAACAGCCCUGGCAUCAUUUUCCCCACCAUGCAGCA
rnacentral:lncRNA from 1 species